ACUCCUACGGGAGGCAGCAGUGGGAAUAUUGGACAAUGGGGGAACCCUGAUCCAGCAAUGCCGCGUGUGUGAAGAAGGCCUGAGGGUUGUAAAGCACUUUCAACUGUGAGGAUUGGGAUUUUGGUUAAUACCCGGAGAUCCUUGACGUUAGCAGUAGAAGAAGCACCGGCUAACUCCGUGCCAGCAGCCGCGGUAAUACGGAGGGUGCAAGCGUUAAUCGGAAUUACUGGGCGUAAAGCGUCUGUAGGCGGCUUAUU
rnacentral:rRNA from 1 species